ensembl:lncRNA
GCUCAGGUUCCUAUGAGAUGUCUUUAACUAUUGAUGAAGGAUGAACUCUCAUAGAGAUUAUAACCAUCGCUAUAAUUGUUGUUUAUAUUGUCAGCUGGGCAGCCUGUGAAUUAAAGCUGCACAAGCAGAGGAAAGAAGACAGUGGAAGCUGUAUGGCCAUCUGAAAGCCUGGGCAUUUCCUCUGAGGAGCAGCUAGCAGCUGGCAUGCAUGUCCCAGGAUAAACUGGGUGGCUCCAUGUUCUGCUAAAAAUUGAAGACAAUGGAUGUUGGUGGACAACUAGCAGCGUUUCUGCCAAGCUGGCUCAAUUAGACUAAAGGGAAAGACUUAGUCUAUAAGCUUGUUUCUCUUUCCUCUCACGCUGGAUAUGAAUAAGAAAGCAAGUAAUGCUAGUCACAGCCAUCUUUAAGGGAGAGGGAAAUAAAUUUCCAUUUUGUUUCAGACAACUUAUAAGCAUAAAAAGACCCAGUCUUAAAAGGAAACUGAUACUGUGGACAGCAGAGCAGACAGAACCCGAGCUCCUGCUGACAAGACUGAGCCACUGAAUCCACCCACCAAGAAGCCUGCUUUACCUCUACACGACCUACUUUCUGGGAGAAAAGAUGCCCUUAUCGUUUAAGCCACUUUGGUUCAGUCUCUUUUUCCUGUAGCUGAAAAUAUCUUAAUAGAAUUCCUUACAGGCCUCCCGACGCACACAAUCUGUUAUAAUCGCCCUCAGCAAUCUCUUCUCCUUCACAGCACUUAUUACGAUUUUGAAUCAUCGAUUUGUUACCUGUUUGAAGUCUAUCUCUGCACUAGGCUAUGGGCCAUGAGCAUCGAGACUAGAUCUGUUUUGUUCACUACUGUACACCUAGUAAAUGGAAUAAGACGACUAACAGGAUGCUUGGCACACAGGAGGCUUGUAAGUAAAUGGUAGCUAUCAUAAAAAUGAUGUUGACAAUAAGCCUCACUCAUUCAAAGAGAUCGCUUCUCGCAGAGGCAGAGCCACGGUCACGGGAAGCAAUGGCGGAGGACAGCUUGGGGAAUCACCCUCUCCUUUAUUCUUCAGGUUUUUGUCAUAUACUAUUUAUUAUUUCAGCCAUGUCUGACAUCUGUUUUGUAGCUUUGGUGUGACCUCAAAUUUGAAUAUGGGACCACUUCUAUCUAGAGCUUGGUCUGAAAAGGAGUGAUGGCAGAGCUGAGAGCAAAGAUGACAGUCACAGCUGCAGCUUCUGUGGUUGUGCUGUGGCUUUCAUUCGGGCAUCCCAGGAGUGCUGAGUGCAGAAACAGGACCAGACGAGUUCGAACAGCCUCUUCUGUCACAUUAGUGUUGAAGCAAGGUCUUCCCAAACAGCCAAGACCUUGACUUCUGAUCUGCAGAGGCCAUCCUAUGCACAUGCAGCCUUCAGACACAUGGCUUUCCUCCUAGGCAUGUUUCUGGAUAAGUUUUCUUUUUUCCUACUCUUUUCCCCACCUCCCAAACCUUUCUGCCAUUCUUUUACGUCAGGUAAUAUAAAAUAAUUUAAAUAAUUAACUUAAUAUGUUCAUAUCUACAGGUAACCUCUAAAGUCUUUUACAUUCCACUCUGAAAUGUACUUUUAAAGUCUUCUUUCUGGUUCAUACACUUGGUGUUUCUUCCUAUUACCUAUGGCAUUAAAUUUUAAUUAAUAUUUAUCUCAAUGCUCUAUCUAAAUGUGAUUACUACAUAAAAGUUUG